rnacentral:rRNA from 1 species
GACGAACGCUGGCGGCGUGCUUAACACAUGCAAGUCGGACGGUCGGCACUGGAAGGUUCGCUGGAAGGUGCCGGUAGUGGCGGACGGGUGAGUAACGCGUGAGGACAUGGCUCCAGGAGGGGGAUAAACGUUUGGAAACGGACGCUAAGACCCCAUAUGCCGGAAGGUGAAAAUGGUGCAAGCCAGCCUGGAGAGUGACUCGCGUCCUAUCAGCUAGUUGGUGGGGUGAAGGCCUACCAAGGCGAUGACGGGUAGCCGACCUGAGAGGGUGGCCGGCCACACUGGAACUGAGAUACGGUCCAGACUCCUACGGGAGGCAGCAGUGGGGAAUAUUGGGCAAUGGGCGCAAGCCUGACCCAGCGACGCCGCGUGGGGGAAGAAGUCUUUCGGGAUGUAAACCCUUGUUGUACGGGACGAAACGAAUGACGGUACCGUACGAGGAAGCCCCGGCAAACUACGUG